rnacentral:rRNA from 1 species
ACUCCCUCUCCGGAAUCAAACCCUAAUUCCCCGUUACCCGUUAAUGCCAUGGUAGGCCCAUAUCCUACCAUCCAAUGCUGAUAGGGCAGAAACUCAAUCGAUUCAUCGCGCAAAAGCACAAUCUACCAGUCCGAAGACUGCAUUGAUUUCAAUCAAAUAAAUGCUACCCGCCCGGCAAGCAGUUGGGUAUUCAUGCAUGUAUUAGCUCUAGAAUUACUACGGUUAUCCAAGUAGUAAGGUACAAUCGAUUAGACUAUAACUGAUAUAAUGAGCCAUUCGCAGUUUCACAGUACAAAUAGAUUACAAUUCUGGUUUGGGAGACUUAGGGAUGCGUCUUGUCAUAAGACGGAGACGAAGGAUAAGCCUUGAGCCACCCAACGUAGAACGUUGGGCGGAGGCGCAUUGCCGUGGGAAUGUUAACAUAUCGGCAUUCCCCCUCACCGCUUGGACCUUCAAUGGUCCAAUGAACUAAGGAAGCAACUUUCGUGAAGGGAAGUUGCUAAUUGCAUGUGUAGGCAAAUUAGUUAUCGAUAAGAAAACUAGUUCGCCUUUCGAAAGGAGAUUGCGUUCUUCAUUCCGUUCCUGUCUGUAUUUUACUUCUAUUACUUCUAGUCAUGGUUGGGACUGAGGUGCCUACAACGUACUUUUGAGUGGUACUGCGUCUUCGUGUGCGCCGUGUGCGAAUAGCUUGCUAUAUGCGUGUGGUUGUGUGUGGAUUGAUGCGGACUUUAACUUGUUGCCGCUCGGGACGUUGACGAAAUGGAGCGAUCCGACCCGUCUUGAAACACGGACCAAGGAGGCUAACAUGUGUGCAAGUGUUAGGGUGUCGAAACCCGGACGCGUAAUUAACGUGAAGGGCAGCGCAAGCUGUCUGAGGUAGGAAACGUUGCGGACUUCGGUCUGCGAUGUGGCACUAUCGACCGAUCAUGAACCUUCGUGGGGAAAGAUUUGAGUUUGAGCACAUAUGUUGGUACCCGAAAGAUGGUGAACUAUGCCUGAGUAGAGUGAAGCCAGGGGAAACUCUGGUGGAAGCUCGUAGCGAUUCUGACGUGCAAAUCGAUCGUUGAACUUGGGUAUAGGGGCGAAAGACUAAUCGAACCAUCUAGUAGCUGGUUCCCUCCGAAAUCUCCCUCAGGAUAGCAACAACUUAUUUACGAUAGUUUUAUGAGGUAAAGCGAAUGAUUAGAGGAUUCGGGGAAGAAACUUUCUCGACCUAUUCUCAAACUUUAAAUCUGUAAGACCUGUAGGUUUUUUAAUUGAACUUGAGACUGUGAAUAUCAGGUUGCAAGUGGGCCAUACGGGGUAAGCUCGUCUGGCGAUGAGGGAAGAACCGAACGCAAAGUUAAAGUGUCAAAAUGCUCGCUUACCUGGAUACCAUAAAAGGCGUUGGAAGUCGGAAUCCGCUAAGGAGUGUGUAACAACUCACCUGCCGAAUGAACUAGCCCUGAAAAUGGAUGGCGCUAAAGCGGGCUGCUUAUACUUUGCCGUUAACGCGAUAUCAUUUUUAAUGUAAGUGUUACUGAGUAGGAGGGCGUGAGGGUUGUGAAGAAGCUUGUGGCGUGAGCCUGAGUGAAACGGCCUUCAGUGCAGCUUGGUGGUAGUAGCAAAUAUUCAAAAGCGAACUUUGAAGACUGAAGUGGAGAAAGGUUCCGUGUGAUCAGUAAUUGGACACGGGUGAGUCGAUCCUAAGAGAUAGGAUAAUUCCGUUUGAAAGCUUGGUUGUUUGGGGCGUGGGGUUUUACCUUGUGUUUGUAUGCAACCUCGUGCAUCGAAAGGGAAUCAGGUUAAUAUUCCUGAACCGAGAAAUGGAUAAUAUGUGGUAACACAACCGACCCAGGAGACGUUAGCGUGGACCCAGGGGAGAGUUCUCUUCUUUUUAACAAGCAUGUCCUACCUUGGAAACGGAUUAUCCGGCGAUAAGGAGGAUUCCUUGGCAAAGCACUUUACUUUUUUAAGUGUCCUGUGUGUUCAUGGUAGCCCUUGAAAAUCCUGGUUAGAGAUUUAUUCGCACCCUCGUUCGUACUCAUAACCGCAUCAGGUCUCCAAGGUGAGCAGCCUCAAGUUGAUAGAAGAAUGUAGAUAAGGGCAGUCGACAACAUAGAUCCGUAACUUCGGGAUAAGGAUUGGGUCUGAGGGUUGGGUUUGAGGGUCUUUUUGGAGAACUUGUUGUGACCUACGUUAGACUGCGACUGGACCCUUCGGGGACCGGAUGCAGACCGACGGUCGGGAUGCUUUCGUUGUGCCAGAAAGAAAGGUGGAUGGCUUUCGGGCUGACUACUGUUUCCUUGAGCGUUGAACAACUGUCUCAGAACUGGAGCGGACAAGGGGAAUCCGACUGUUUAAUUAAAACAAAGCAUUGUGAUGGCCGGAGACGGUGUUGACACAAUGUGAUUUCUGCCCAGUGCUCUGAAUGUCAAAGUGAAGAAAUUCAACCAAGCGCGGGUAAACGGCAGGAGUAACUAUGACUCUCUUAAGGUAGCCAAAUGCCUCGUCAUCUAACUAGUGACGCGCAUGAAUGUAUUAAUGAGAUUCCCACUGUCCCUAUCUACUGUCUAUCGAACCCACUGCCAAGGGAACGGGCUUGGAAUAAUCAGCGGGGAAAGAAGACCCCGUUGAGCUUGACUCUAGUCUGAUGUUGUGAAAUGACUUGGGAGGUGUAGAAUAAGUGGGAGGCUUUUGCCGUCAGUGAAAUACCACUACUCUCAAUGUUAUUACACUUAUAUCAUGAUGUAAUAUCUGCUUUGCUUCGCGGCGGCCCAGUUAUAGUUGGAGGCCUGGCCUUUUGUCUGGGUGAAUAACGUGAAAAACAUCAUCAGGCGGGGAGUUUGGCUGGGGAGGCACAUCUGUUAAAUGAUAACACAGGUGUCCUAAGGUGAGCUCAAUGAGAACAGAAAUCUCAUGUAGAACAAAAGGGUAAAAGCUCACUUGAUUUUGAUUUUCAGUAUGAAUACAAACCGUGAAAGCGUGGCCUAUCGAUCCUUUAGUUCUUUCGAAUUUUAAGCUAGAGGUGUCAGAAAAGUUACCACAGGGAUAACUGGCUUGUGGCAGCCAAGCGUCCAUAGCGACGUUGCUUUUUGAUUCUUCGAUGUCGGCUCUUCCUAUCAUUGCGAAGUAGACCUCGCCAAUUGUUGGAUUGUUCACCCACUAAUAGGGAACGUGAGCUGGGUUUAGACCGUCGUGAGACAGGUUAGUUUUCCCCUACUGAUGAGUUCGUUGUCUAAACAGUAAUCCAACCCAGUACGAGAGGAACCGUUGGUUCAGAUAAUUGGUAACUGCGGUUAGCUGAGAAGCUAGUGCCGCCAAGCUACCAUCUGUCGGAUUAUGGCUGAACGCCUCUAAGUCAGAAUCCAUGCUGGAAUAGACGAUAAUCACCUUUCCUGAUGUAACGCGAAUAGCGAUAGGUGUCCUUUGGGCACUCAACAUCAUACAAUUGCAACGCACCUCGCUAUCUGUCAAAUAUCGAUAGUGGGGAGUAGGCUGAUUUCUAAUUUCAAAUAUUAGAAAAGAUAAAUCCUUUGU